UUACUUUGACAGCGGGAGUAGGGAGGAAUUGUGGCGCGGUACUGGCGAAUGAGUCACUGCUUGCUCUCGCGGCGGCGGCCAAUCAAACAACGGAUAACAAACUGAACUGUACAUGAUAAUAAUAAAUAUUGGGCCAACAAAAAUAGGACAAUCGUUGCUGGUAGUUGCUUGAUGCUCCUUGUGUAUUUACGUAUAUUUUUUCAUCGAUUGCAUGACGAUAGGAUGAUGAUUCAAAUUACUUCGUGAUUCAAAUCUUUGUUCCUAAUUUUUUCACACCCACCACGACAUUGAGCUAAAAAAUAUAAAGACUGCCAACAUUGGUACCAAAUUUACGAUUCUCUGGGUAUUGGUGCAGCUUCCCACAGUACCGACUCAUUUAACCGGUGUGUUUAACGGCGGUAAUGGCUUCGAAAGCGCAAUUAGGCGCUAAAAAAUCAGAGCAGCUUCUUUUCAUGGAGACUAUACGAGGGGCACGAACUCAAAUGGGCUUUCGUGUGACAACCGAAAUUCGUCGCGCGCCUGUACCCUCUGCGGUGUUUCAGCGGCAGAGUUGGGAACUUAUUGCAGAGUAUCAGAGGGUUACCGGUCACGACAAGAUGUCGGUUGCAAUAACCUUCCGAGUAACACAGUCGUCGUAACGAUUCAUGACACAGACUUACAUCCAGAGUCGUUUUGCUCGAUGGAAUUUCGUCUGUAUAGUAAACUGUUCUCCGAGUGCCUGGGUAGCCUAGCGAUAAGGGAUCGCUUCUCAGCUCCGUGGUAUCUGGC